UGCAUCCUUCUCUGAGCCGUUCCGCCCUUAUCAGAGUUCUUACCCAGCCUGGCACUAAUCCUACAUGCAGGCCGCUGGCAUCUCUGGUCUUCUGAGUUCUUUCAGUGUUUUCCAGACAGACAGCAAAGUGCUGCUGUUGAAUCUAAACUAUAGAGUGAGCACACAGUGGGGAGGAUAUGACCAGUCUAUGGCACAUCCUGGAAUUACUUUUUUUUUUUUUUUUUUUUUCAAUAAUUUGCUAGGAAAUUGUCAUUUAAUUCCUGUGCUUUAGCAUGAGCUUAGAAGGAAAUAGAGUUUGGUUUGAACUAAAUUGCUGCUGCUUUCCAAGGUCCUUGCAUACAGCCCCUGAGCUACAAUGCAAGUAAUAAACAUCAGCAGCUAAUGACAAACGAAACUAAAGGUUGGAGGUCAGAUACCCCAUCCUCCAGAGUGCCGGCAAAUUGCCUUUGCUCCCUUUGCAGCUGCCUAUUGCUCCCUGAGACCCAAGCAGUGCUCGGUGUGCAGCACAACCACUGUUAGGGCAGCACAGCACUGGUGCAGAGAAUGAUACUACCACCGCCAGGCCAGGUGUGGAUGCUAGGGGAUGGAUGCUCAGGGGAUGGAUGCUGGGGGAUGGAUGCUCUGGGCACAGAUGCUAGGGGUUGGAUGCUAGGGCAAUGGAUGCUGGGGGAUGGAUGCUCAGGGGACGGAUGCUCGGAGGCGCAUUGGCACGCACACAGCAUUCAUUAAAAGCGGAUUAGGUGGAAACCUCAAACAGACCGAUGCUGCCGAAAAGGAAUGAAUGCAGAGCACAGGAAUUGUUGGAGGAGUGGGUGACAGGAGCUGGUUUGGGAAGCUAGGGCUCGGGUGGUGUGCGCAGAGCCGGGCUCUUUGCCUCGGCAGUCCCUCUUAAUGAACUCGAACAGAGCCAUCAGUAAAAAAUAUCAGAGGGUAUUCGGUGAUAGGAAGAUUAACCAGGCACGAAAAGUUAAAAGAACGCUGCUCGGAAUUAUCAAAGUCCUAGUUAUAGAUAUCAGGUGCGUCAUAAUACUUUGCUGAAGUUCUCUUUAUAUCCAUUUGCACACAAAAUAAGUUCUCUGAGACUAACAUCUACCUAAACUAUCACUGCGUCUCAGGUCUGCCCGAGGCUCGGUAAGGCUGUUGGCGUUCCUAAGAAGUACACAGAGGAUAACCGAGGUGAUCACUUGGUGAUGCUCGCAGCUAGCCACGGAACUCGAACGGAGAAGGUCAGAAACAAAACGUCAGGAGAGCCCUAUGGCAUCACACCACAGCCGACACGAACACAGCAAACUCUGCCCAUCGCCAAAGAACGGAAAGAAGUACGACUAAAACGCAAGCCGAUGUGUUGCAGCAUCGUAGGGCCACUAGAUAGCCAUCCGUCAACUCGUGGCGAUUGACGAGGUGAAGAGAAGGCACGAAAGCUGCAAAACCGCUCCCCGCGUCCCUCGGCCAAGCUGUGGGGGCGGGCGGGGCCGCGGGGUUCGGAGCCGGCCCACCCCGUCGGGCCCUGCCCCGUAG
rnacentral:lncRNA from 1 species